CCUCGCUUUCCAUGGCCUUUGCAAGCUCCACCGCAUGCUGUUUCACCUGAAAUGAUUCUCAGAUAAGUUCAUCAUGAGAUUAUUUACUCAAAUUAUGGAUGCUACACCAUCUCAUUCUCAUCACGAUUCUCCACAAGAGGAUGACGCAUAACCAUUGGUGUCACCAACUGGUACUUCAGGCCGUAGACCCCCCUCUUGAGCAGCUACCUCCUGCACGAGUAGUCGAGUCUCAAUAGAUCUAGAAUACAUUGAUAUUCUUAAUGAGGAGAAGUUGAUGAAUGUUGAGGCCGAUCCUUGACCCCCGAUAUAAGUUGGCGAUUGUAAAGGAUUGAGGACGGGUGAUGAGGAUGCUGAAAAGUUUAUUAGAUCACUUAAAUGUAAUAUUGAUGAUUUAUAUAAUCA